rnacentral:rRNA from 1 species
UACGUAGGGGGCUAGCGUUGUCCGGAAUCAUUGGGCGUAAAGCGCGUGUAGGCGGUCCGGUAAGUCCGCUGUGAAAGUCGGGGGCUCAACCCUCGGAUGCCGGUGGAUACUGUCGGGCUUGAGUACGGAAGAGGCGAGUGGAAUUCCUGGUGUAGCGGUGAAACGCGCAGAUAUCAGGAGGAACACCAAUUGCGAAGGCAGCUCGCUGGGACGUUACUGACGCUGAGACGCGAAAGCGUGGGGAGCAAACAGG